rnacentral:rRNA from 1 species
CCUACGGGUGGCAGCAGUGAGGAAUAUUGGUCAAUGGGCGCGAGCCUGAACCAGCCAAGUAGCGUGAAGGAUGACUGCCCUACGGGUUGUAAACCUCUUUUGCCGGGGAGCAACGGGCGCCACGUGUGGCGCCACUGAGAGUACCCGGAGAAAAAGCAUCGGCUAACUCCGUGCCAGCAGCCGCGGUAAUACGGAGGAUGCGAGCGUUAUCCGGAUUUAUUGGGUUUAAAGGGUGCGUAGGCGGAGCGUUAAGUCAGUGGUCAAAUUGAGGGGCUCAACACCUGCCCGCCAUUGAAACUGGCGUUCUUGAGUGGAAGAGAAGUAUGCGGAAUGCGUGGUGUAGCGGUGAAAUGCAUAGAUAUCACGCAGAACCCCGGUUGCGAAGGCAGCAUGCCGGCUUCCGACUGACGCUGAGGCACGAAAGCGUGGGGAUCGAACAGGAUUAGAUACCCCAGUAGUC